rnacentral:rRNA from 1 species
GAGUUAUCUGAACCUUCGGGGGACGAUAACGGCGUCGAGCGGCGGACGGGUGAGUAAUGCCUGGGAAAUUGCCCUGAUGUGGGGGAUAACCAUUGGAAACGAUGGCUAAUACCGCAUAAUAGCUUCGGCUCAAAGAGGGGGACCUUCGGGCCUCUCGCGUCAGGAUAUGCCCAGGUGGGAUUAGCUAGUUGGUGAGGUAAGGGCUCACCAAGGCGACGAUCCCUAGCUGGUCUGAGAGGAUGAUCAGCCACACUGGAACUGAGACACGGUCCAGACUCCUACGGGAGGCAGCAGUGGGGAAUAUUGCACAAUGGGCGCAAGCCUGAUGCAGCCAUGCCGCGUGUAUGAAGAAGGCCUUCGGGUUGUAAAGUACUUUCAGCAGUGAGGAAGGUGGUGUACUUAAUACGUGCAUCAUUUGACGUUAGCUGCAGAAGAAGCACCGGCUAACUCCGUGCCAGCAGCCGCGGUAAUACGGAGGGUGCGAGCGUUAAUCGGAAUUACUGGGCGUAAAGCGCAUGCAGGGUGGUUUGUUAAGUCAGAUGUGAAAGCCCGGGGCUCAACCUCGGAAUUGCAUUUGAAACUGGCAGACUAGAGUACUGUAGAGGGGGGGUAGAAUUUCCAGGUGUAGCCGGUGAAAUGCGGUAGAGAUCUGAAGGAAUACCGGUUGGCGAAGGCGGCCCCCUGGACAGAUACUGACACUCAGAUGCGAAAGCGUGGGGAGCAAACAGGAUUAGAUACCCUGGUAGUCCACGCCGUAAACGAUGUCUACUUGGGAGGUUGUGGCCUUGAGCCGUGGCUUUCGGAGCUAACGCGUUAAGUAGACCGCCUGGGGGAGUACGGUCGCAAGAUUAAAACUCAAAUGAAUUGACGGGGGCCCGCACAAGCGGUGGAGCAUGUGGUUUAAUUCGAUGCAACGCGAAGAACCUUACCUACUCUUGACAUCCAUAGAACUUUCCAGAGAUGGAUUGGUGCCUUCGGGAACUAUGAGACAGGUGCUGCAUGGCUGUCGUCAGCUCGUGUUGUGAAAUGUUUGGGUUAAGUCCCGCAACGAACGCAACCCUUAUCCUUGUUUG